AGCCAUCAUUUAAAGAAAGCGUAAUAGCUCACUGGUCGAGUCGGCCUGCGCGGAAGAUGUAACGGGGCUAAACCAUGCACCGAAGCUGCGGCAGCGAACGUAUCACUUAAAGCGAUUCAGCGUCUUACGAUUGACGGAGCGAAGCGACGUCAAAGCGUAUACAAAGUCGAGUCGGUUUAAGGAUACGUUCGUUGGGUAGGGGAGCGUUCUGUAAGCCGUUGAAGGUGUGCCGUGAGGCAUGCUGGAGGUAUCAGAAGUGCGAAUGCUGACAUAAGUAACGAUAAAGCGGAUGAAAAGCCCGCUCGCCGGAAGACCAAGGGUUCCUGUCCAACGUUAAUCGGGGCAGGGUGAGUCGACCCCUAAGGCGAGGCCGAAAGGCGUAGUCGAUGGGAAACAGGUUAAUAUUCCUGUACUUGGUGUUACUGCGAAGGGGGGACGGAGAAGGCUAUGUCGGCCGGGCGACGGUUGUCCCGGUUUAAGCGUGCAGGUGUGUGUUCCAGGUAAAUCCGGUUCACUUUAACACUGAGGCGUGAUGACGAGGCACUACGGUGCUGAAGUGACAAA
rnacentral:rRNA from 1 species